rnacentral:rRNA from 1 species
GCAGCAGCCGCGGUAAUACAGAGGGUGCGAGCGUUGUCCGGAAUCACUGGGCGUAAAGGGCGCGUAGGCGGUUGCUUAAGCGUGUGGUGAAAGCCCGGGGCUCAACCCCGGGUCGGCCAUGCGAACUGGGCGACUGGAGCCGAUCAGAGGCAGGCGGAAUUCCGGGUGUAGCGGUGGAAUGCGUAGAGAUCCGGAAGAACACCGGUGGCGAAGGCGGCCUGCUGGGAUCGAGCUGACGCUGAGGCGCGACAGCGUGGGGAGCAAACAGGAUUAGAUACCCCCGUAGUCCCUGUCUCUUAUAC